GCCAUGACGUAAAGGCUCAUACCUGCAAGGGUCUUCCAGGUGGAGCUUAUAUAGCCCCACAGACCAAAAGUAGCCCUUGGUCAAGUUCCAUGUGUCUGAGCAUAACCAUCAUAUCCCAGCCAAUGAAGGAAUGAUUUCUAUUGAUGUGGCAAUAGAGUGGCCUGGGGAACUUCUCUCAGCGUCACCUGCCUUUUGGGUGGCUUUCAGGCCUUAAAUAUUAACCCCCCAAACUCCAAGUGGGCAGAACUCAAAUUCAGAUCCCAGAAGUAUAUUACUACUCCAUGUAUCCUGAGCUGGAUGUUUCACUUGCUGGUUAAUGUCAUAGUUCCCAUGAGAAUGACUGGACAGAAGAAUGGCAGAAAUGUCAGUGUGAAAUCAAAUCUUGGCCAUUGCUCUUGUCUGUCCAUUAACACAAUUACAGAAUCAAUCUGUUCAGUUAUUUUCUCCUCUGUUGAUGUUGUUUGUUUGGGAUUCAUGAUAUGGGUCAGUGGAUCCAUGAUACUUUUCCUUCACAGGCACAAACAGCAAGUCCAAUACAUUCACAGCACUAGGCAACCCUCCCCAACAUUCCCCGGGACCAGAGCCACAAAAUCUAUCAUGUUACUUGUGAGCGCUUUUGUCAUAUUUUAUUCUCUCUCUUCUGCCUUUGAGAUGUAUGCUUAUCUUUUUGGCAAUCCACAGUUGUGGCUUGUGAACACCAGUGUGCUCCUAGCAUCUAGUUUUCCAACCCUCAGUCCCUUUUUGCUCUUAAAGAGUAACACCCAUGUCUCUAGCAUCUGCUCUUCCUGCUGAGGAAGUUGUAGAACUUACUCAGUUGCUGACAGCAUUAUACUAUUUUCAUUCAUCCAUUUAUUGUCUCAUUCUAUGAAGUACCUUCUCUGUAUCAUUCAUGUUUUAGACACAGUAGUGGGCUGCUGCUGCUGCUGCUGCUGCUGUGUCGCUUCAGUCCUGUCUGACUCUGUGCGACCCCACAGAUGGCA